CAGAAGACAACAACACGGAGACUACAGUAAGCUGACAAAGUACAUAGGUUAGGAUGAAUGCACACAGAGCAAUCGGUUCCACCUGGCUCUGGCUUCGCUCUCCUUCCAGAGCUUAGAGCCACACCCUGCCUCACAUUCCAGCUGCUUCCUGCUGAGCCUUCAGCAAGGCCCGCCCUUCAGUAGGGCUCCAAGGAGCAGGGGCACUAAGCUCCCUCUGGUGCGGACAUCCGGCCCUUCGCCUGUCCCCGGGCUGAGGCUGACGUCCAGCACAGUGCACCGGACAGGGUCACACCUCCUCUGUGCCCCUUCCUAGCGGGGUGACCCCCGAUCCAUCAGGAACGGUGAGUGCUGCCUCCCUGCCUCACAAGCUGCUGGCGGGACCAGAGCCAAGGGCUCCACACGCGUGCCCACCGCAGGGGCACAUCUCUGCCUGAAAGAGUGACUGUCACGGUCGUGGUCUUCCGGGAGGAGCGGAGAAGGGGCAAGCAGGACGCUACUCAAGAAACAAAACAAGAACUGGCGAGAAUGUAGAGACAGUGCGACCUUCAUGCUCUGCUGGGGGACGUAAAAUGAUGCAGCCACUGCAGAAAACAGUGCGGAGGUUCUUUACAAAGUUAAACAAUCAUCAUGUGAUGCAGAAAUCCUACUUCUGGGCUUAUACAUCCAAAAGGACUGAAAGCAGGGUCUCAAGAGAUGUCUGUGCACCCAUGUUCAUAGCAGCACUAAAAGCAACAGCCAGAAGGGGAGGCAACACAAGUGUCCAUCAAUGCAUGCCACGGAUGCCAGUCACAAAAGGACAAAUGCUGUAGGAUCCACUUCUAUGAGGUGCCUGGAGGAGUCGGAUUCAUAGAGACAAAGUAGAGGGUGGUUACCAGGGCCUGGGUGGGGGGAGGGGGGUUAGUGUUGAUGGGGACAGUUUGGGAAGACAGAAAAGUUCUGCAGAUGGUGGUGAUGGCUGCACAACAAUGUGAAUGUACUUAGUACUACUGGACUCUUAAAGCGGUUACAUGGUAAAUUUCGUUCUGUAUAUUUUAUUACAUUAAAAACAGAAAAAGUCUGCCUCGAAAGCUUUCUCCAGGCAGGGACCCCCUUCCCACCAGAUGUCCCCUGCACAUGAGGACACCUGUGCUGUAUCCUCCAUUGAGGUCGCCAGGCCCUGGACGCUGACUGUCGGCAGCUGGGCCCCUGACCAGCCAGGGGACAGAAAGCUCCCACAGUGACCCUAACCGGAGGGUCAGGGAUGACUCCCUUCGGGGCUGAGCUGCAGGAAGUAGCUCUCAGGCAGAGGACUUGAGCCACCUACUCCUGCUGCAACCUCUCUGCCAUGCCCCCCGCCCACAAACGGCAUGCGCACACCGUGAAGCUCGAACCCCAGCCCGGCGAAGGCUGCUAAUCCCAGGCCGCCGGGCGUCUCCUCACCUGGAGUAGACAGCCUCUCCGCGGCAGUACCCGAGGAUGGCGGCCGUCUCGGGGUAGAUGGCCUCGUACUUGAGGAGGUGCCUCUUGAGGGCGUACAGAGGGUGGUUCUUGUACAUGCCUAUGACGGUGGGCAGAGGCUGGUCCAGGUGCCUCGCCUGAAACUGCAGAGGCCGAGAGACGACGUUGGGCGUGGUGCUCGGAGAGGGAGGGAGGUUGGCGGCGACCCCCGAACUUGCCCAGGUAACUGACGGUGCCGUGGGGCUUUCGGGGCCCCAGGGCCGCCGCACCACGCUGUGACCUGGCGUUCUGUGCCACGGGUUUAGGUGCCUCGGAAGCUCCGCAGGGGCCGGUAAUCCUGCAGCUCGCAGCAACAGAAAAGUCAGCCCUACCCUCUGACACCUCGGCCGGCCCGAGCAGAGCCUUCCUCGGGAGGAGGCCUCACCUCAAGUGACACCACAAUUCUGUGACACGGGUUCAGCGGCUCGGCUCCCCCGGAAACCAGAAUGAGCACUCACACCUUCUCCGUCCACUACGAUCAACACCUGUUCUCCCCGCUGCCUCAAGGAGCCUAGCUCUUCGCAGGCAAGCCCACUGCUCUCACCUGCAUCCCACUCACCAGGUCUCCUGCAUUUCCCCGCAGCAUCUCUUCAAACCCCGACAGACAAGGGAGGAGCGGCAAGUGGGGAGCAGGAGGGACCCCGCUUGGCCAGCUUGCAUGACAAGCCCUUGAACCAGGUCAGUCACAACACGCUCUGCACGACUCCCACGACCCUGUCACCUCUGAGCCACACCCUGAGCGAUGCAGUGCAGAGGGAUGACUCCCUGCCCCCGGGGAAGUGGGAAUAAUUCUCUAGCAAGUCUGCCCACCCUGCGCUGUGGGCAGCCCUGCACAAGCCCCCGGCCCUCUUCCGGGCCCACGGCUGUCCCACGACUCAGGGACGCGCUGCUGCUCCAGAAGCCGCCCCCCAGGGUGCCCCUCAACAGACAAGCCAUCUCCUCAGCCCUCCUCCUGGGAGCUGAGUGUUCUGGGUCGGGGCAGGGGUGCUGGCGUGCACAUCUCUGCGCGUGUGCACGCUGAGAAGGGGGGCCAAUUAUGUUACUGCGUGUUUUCCUCUUUCACUCAGGACUACUUACCUGACGUAAAGCUCCAAAUUUAUAACUGGGCAAUAACUGAAAGUACACAGGCUUUGAAGCCAGAGCAACCUGGGUUCAAAUACAGGUUGGCUCAUCUCUCAGAUUCUAAACGUUUAGCUGGUAAAAUUAAGGCUACGAUAACCCCAGCUUUGUACUGUUGCUGUGACAAUUGAGGUAAAAACACAACACGGGGCUGGGCAUCCAGCAGGUGCACGUGCGCAAGGCCUCACCUCCUGGUCCUCCUUCUGCUCCCUCUCCACCAGCGGGCUCCGGUAGGGUCGCAGGGUCUCGGCCCACCACGCGGCAUCAACCCGGCACUUUCGGGUCACCGUCAUCCAGGCAGGGUCGUACCUCUGUGUGACAUCGCGCAACCAGCCGUCGCUGUCGAUGCCCACGAUGUAGGUCACAGGCUUGGUGGCGUACUGGUAGCAGGUCAGGGGCUGGCCCACUACACCGUGCACACAGUCCACGCACACCCACUUCUCCUCCUGCUCAGAGAACACCUCCAGCCACUGGUCCACACCAGCUGCUCUCCGGCCGUCUGCUUCCUCACCAUCCACGGGCAUCUUACACUUGCCUCUCUUACGCUUACUGCCGGAAGCGCUUACAGAUGCUUCUGGAAAGCCAGGGGGCUGACGGUCGCUUCCACGCUGGGACCUGGACUCCCUCUUGGACCCCACCUUCAUCCUCUGAGGGGCGGCGGCCCUCCUCUGCCUUGGAAGGCCUGGCUCAGAAUCCUCGUCGGAUGGGCGAUGGCUGUCCGAGCUGGAGAGCUCAAAGUCAGAGCUGCUGCUGGCCUUGUCACUCCCGCUCUCCUCUUUGUAAGAUACCCUGGCGGCCGCCUGCCGCUCCCGGCCCCGCGAACGCCUCUGGGUCCCUUCCGUCUGCCCCCCGGCCUUGCCCUCUUCUUUCCUGCUGGAGGAGGGCUCUCUCCGUUUCUUCCUGGUGGCAGCCGCCUUGCUCCCCUUCGCUUUGUCAGGUGCACUGCCAGUGCCCUCAGAAGACAUGUCUUCUCGUCUGCUUCCUCUGCUGGUCUCUGGUUUGCUUGGCUUUCCAGGAACUUGGCUGGAAGUUUCUGAGGAGCCUCCAGGACCCUCUGUGGAUAUCUCCUUGGAAGGUUUCUUUCCCUUAAACAGAAUAGGAAAUUUUUGUGUUUUCUUUUUUUGCUAGUGAUGCAAUAAAGACUCUGGCAUCUAAUGGGGCUAAGUCACACUGGAACACCAGCGUACACAAGACAUUCCCGGCUCAGACAGUGACAGGCUGGCUACCCUCCAGGAUUGUAAGAAAGCAGUCACUAAAUUCUGCAGCUCCUUAAAUAAGGCCACACUCUAAUUCUUUUCAAUACAAAGUGUAGCACAGGGAAAAGAGCACAGGAUGUGGAAACAAACCCGGGUUCAAACUCCACUUCUGCUUUCUCGUUUUUUAUGUGAUUCAGAUAAAUUAUGUAACCUCUGAGUCUCAGUUUCCUCAGCAAUAGUACUCACCUUGCACAUAAGGCAUUUUGCAAACAAAGUCACAGCAUUAAGAAUUCAGAAAUUAUUAAACUUGACUCCUGGACCGAAUUUCGGACAAUGCCAGCACCCCAAGGAGCACAGUGUUCAGCCUCCUUGGAUGAUGGCAGAGCUCUGAGUCCUCACUGUCCUCUCUCCACACUGCUGAGGAUGACCAGUACCUUUUUAUUCUACCAUUUACAGAACAGAAACCAGAGCAAGAAGGAGCCCAGGCUCUCGCAGGCCCCUCUACGCACGCAAAGCCCGGCUGCUAGAUACCCACCCAGGCGCCCAGUCUUCCCAGCACAGGGCCUGUGCCAGGCAGGCUCAGAGGAACCCUGCUCCACGAAGACUGAUUUUUAAAAAUCGUCUAAUGAGCAGAUCUGUUUGCUCUAAGUCUCAUAAUUUCUCACUCCUCCCUGACCAACUACUCUUUUCUCUGGAAGCCCCGGGAACCUCACCUUCGCUGCUGGUAACUUCAGAGGAAUUGGCUGUAGAGACAGUACGAGUCGGGUAGGGAGAUGUAGGGCCCGGAGAAUCAGUAAAAAUAUCUAUGAUGAAAAAGAACAACAUGCUUAUCCUCAGGGAAGAAUUAAGCGUUUGCAUAAUUCCAUGCUGUUUGUUGUGGUGCCUAUUGAUAAAAGGGAAACAACCAACUUGUCUAACAGUAGAAGCCUGGAACCCUCAACACUAUUAAAAUGAUGCUGUAGAGAUUUAUCUUUGUAGAAAAAUGGGGAAAGGUAACCAUAUAUUAAAGGAAAAUAAAUGUUUGCUUUUUAAUGA